UACGUAGGGGGCAAGCGUUGUCCGGAUUUAUUGGGCGUAAAGAGCGUGUAGGCGGCUUUACAGGUCCGUUGUGAAAACUCGAGGCUCAACCUCGAGACGCCGGUGGAAACCGUAAGGCUAGAGUCCGGAAGAGGAGAGUGGAAUUCCUGGUGUAGCGGUGAAAUGCGCAGAUAUCAGGAGGAACACCAGUGGCGAAGGCGGAGACCUGGGCCAAUACUGACGCUGAGGUGCGAAAGCGUGGGGAGCAAACAGG
rnacentral:rRNA from 1 species